CCCUUAGACGUUCUGGGCCGCACGCGCGCUACACUGACCAGUACAACAAGCAUCCGUCCUUGGCCGACAGGCUCGGGCAAUCUUUGAACGCUGGUCGUGAUGGGGAUAGACUUUUGCAAUUUUUGGUCUUCAACGAGGAAUUCCUAGUAAACGCAAGUCAUCAACUUGCAUUGAUUACGUCCCUGCCCUUUGUACACACCGCCCGUCGCACCUACCGAUUGAAUGGUCCGGUGAAGCCUCCGGAUUGGCGCGCACCUCGGUGCCGCCGAGAAGUUGGCUAAACCUUACCAUUUAGAGGAAGGUGAAGUCGUAACA
rnacentral:rRNA from 1 species